CGGAGCUGUGACGGCGAGGGAAAUAUAGUACCGAAGUUCCUGAUUCCACACUGCCAAGAAAAGCCUCUAGCGAGAUUUAGGGUGCCCGUACCGCAAACCGACACAGGUAGGCGAGGAGAGAAUCCUAAGGUGAGCGAGAGAACUCUCGUUAAGGAACUCGGCAAAAUGACCCCGUAACUUCGGGAGAAGGGGUGCUCUUGCGGGUGCAAGCCUGCGAGAGCCGCAGUGAAUAGGCCCAGGCGACUGUUUAGCAAAAACACAGGUCUCUGCGAAGCCGCAAGGCGAAGUAUAGGGGCUGACACCUGCCCGGUGCUGGAAGGUUAAGAGGAGGGGUUAGCACGUUAGUGCGAAGCUCUGAAUUGAAGCCCCAGUAAACGGCGGCCGUAACUAUAACGGUCCUAAGGUAGCGAAAUUCCUUGUCGGGUAAGUUCCGACCCGCACGAAAGGUGUAACGAUCUGGGCACUGUCUCAACGAGAGACUCGGUGAAAUUAUAGUACCUGUGAAGAUGCAGGUUACCCGCGACAGGACGGAAAGACCCCGUGGAGCUUUACUGCAGCCUGAUAUUGAAUUUUGGUACAGCUUGUACAGGAUAGGUAGGAGCCUUGGAAGCCGGAGCGCCAGCUUCGGUGGAGGCAUUGGUGGGAUACUACCCUGGCUGUAUUGACAUUCUAACCCGCACCCCUGAUCGGGGUGGGAGACAGUGUCAGGUGGGCAGUUUGACUGGGGCGGUCGCCUCCUAAAAAGUAACGGAGGCGCCCAAAGGUUCCCUCAGAAUGGUUGGAAAUCAUUCGUAGAGUGUAAAGGCACAAGGGAGCUUGACUGCGAGACCUACAAGUCGAGCAGGGACGAAAGUCGGGCUUAGUGAUCCGGUGGUUCCGCAUGGAAGGGCCAUCGCUCAACGGAUAAAAGCUACCCCGGGGAUAACAGGCUUAUCUCCCCCAAGAGUCCACAUCGACGGGGAGGUUUGGCACCUCGAUGUCGGCUCAUCGCAUCCUGGGGCUGUAGUCGGUCCCAAGGGUUGGGCUGUUCGCCCAUUAAAGCGGUACGCGAGCUGGGUUCAGAACGUCGUGAGACAGUUCGGUCCCUAUCCGUCGUGGGCGUAGGAAAUUUGAGAGGAGCUGUCCUUAGUACGAGAGGACCGGGAUGGACGCACCGCUGGUGUACCAGUUGUCUUGCCAAAGGCAUCGCUGGGUAGCUAUGUGCGGAAGGGAUAAGUGCUGAAAGCAUCUAAGCAUGAAGCCCCCCUCAAGAUGAGAUUUCCCAUAGCGCAAGCUAGUAAGAUCCCUGAAAGAUGAUCAGGUUGAUAGGUCAGAGGUGGAAGCGUGGCGACAUGUGGAGCUGACUGAUACUAAUAGAUCGAGGACUUAACUAAAA
rnacentral:rRNA from 2 species